rnacentral:tRNA from 2 species
AGGCGAGUAAUUUAAUGGUAAAAUAGCGGUCUCCAAAACCGCCUUUCUGGGUUCGAUUCCUGGUUCGCCUGCAA